rnacentral:rRNA from 1 species
UUUUGGAGUGAUAGGCAUGUUCUAAAACUGGAUUGUGUCUCAGAAGCUAAGCAGGGUCAGGCCUGGUUAGUACUUGGGUGGGAGACCACCUAGGAAGACCAGGUGCUGUAGGCA